AAUGUUCUAAGAGCACUUAUAGUGAACUCACCAAAGAGACGAAAUCACCAAAAUCAGACGAGUUUCAUCAAAAUUGUGUCUGCAACGAACUCGUCUCUGCUACAGGAAAUUUGGUGAGUGCCGAUUUGGCUCAUCUGUUCUGCUGAGCCAAUUUCCUCUCGUCUCUUCUUACUUUUCAUUUGUUUAUUACCCUUCCCGCGUUCUCGAUCUCCUGAAGCGAAAAUUGGAGCUCCUUCGCACCUUUUCUCACAAAUCACCUCUGCAAGCUUUUGAAUCCCAGUAAUCCUUUCCUUCCUGGAUGAUUGACAGCAACGUGUUCUCCAUUUGGUAAUUGGGAUCACAUAUUUGACAGCUGCAAGGGUGAAUCGGUUGCAUGCUUGACAGCUGCAAGGGCUGAAUGUACUGCAUGUUUGACAGCUGCAAGGGCAGCUGUGGUAUUCACUCUAACACCUCUGAGCCUAUUCUUUUUCUUUUUCUUUUUCUUGAGCUCUCUGAGUUCCUGUCGCAUGUGAGUCCUUGACCCAUCAUAUGUAACCCCACCCACCUUCUCAAUGGAGUUUUAAGUACUUAACUAUAUAUACCAUCUCUUCUUGCCUAUUAUAUACAAUUAUAAAUGAUAUGUACAAUUUCAUAGCUUUAAUAUCUGUUUGUUUAGUACAUAACCUAAUUCAUAUCCUUAAUGAAGUGUAUUUAUCAUUUGUAACGUAGAUAAAAGCAUUUAUCAAUAUAGAGAUAUCAUUUAUGGAGAUAUCAUUGCCAACCUUUAUCUUUUUUACAAAUUUUGGCCUUGACUUUAUUUUGAAUCUAGUAAACUUAAGUGUGAUUUAUUUUGUUCAUGGCUGAUGGUGGAUGUUUAUCAAUAUCUGUUGCAAUUUUGGAAGCUUACAUUUUUUUAGAAGGGAAGUGAAUGAUUUAGAGAUAGGAGAAAAAUGAUAUGAGAUUUUUUCAUCUCUUUUGAAGGCACUAGUUUUAGUUUAAGUUCUAUUCUAUUUUGCUAGUGCGCCCUAGAGGCUUAAUUUUGUAGCUACUGAAAGUCAUGAUGCUCUGCAUAGGUGGAUCUUGAUGUUUUAUUUUGCCUCUAGCCGCUUGUGUAUCUUGUAGCCCUUGUAACUAACUUGGUGUUCUCUUAUGCUGAAGGCCAAAAAACAGUCUUUUUGAUAAUGAAAAUAUUGUCUUCCAAGGAUCUGCUGUUUUUUGUCUGCAACCUGUUGUGCUUGGAUUUCACUCUAUGCUUGUGUUGAGAAACUAUUUAAUUCUUGUACAUCAGCCAUCAACCCAUUACAAAUUGAAUGUUCAUAUCAACUAGUGCACAUCAACUUUUAGCCUGGUUGUGCUACUGCCGCAAGUACACUUUCAGAUUGCUAAUAAAAUCCUGCUUUGGUAAGGGGGAUGUCAAAUCCAUACCAUUCUCUUUAUCCUUUCUCAUUUUAUCAUGUGGGCCAUAGCAGGAUGCAGGUCAAUUUGUUUGAUUGAUUUCAUGGGCUGAGAGAUCCUCCAAAUGCAAAAAAGAGCACUUAGAGCAGAAGGAUGAGAAGCCAGAGCCAUUUGAUACAAGCUUCGGUGUUAUUUUUAAGCUGCUGAUGUAAUUGGAAGGAGAUCCGGUGUAGCAUUUAUAGCUUGGGUAGUAGUCUAGGCUUUCUGGUUUUUCUGCAGCAUGGACUGAUUUUCUACAUAUAAUUUGCUUUAUGGGGUGACUUCUGGUAGUUUAUGCAUGAGUUAUUGUCUUUUUUCUUCUUUCCUUCAUUUAUAUACAUUUCUCUUUACUUGCAGUCCAUGGCCAGCACCAAUAAGAUCAAAUAGGAGAGGAAUGAAAUGGGGGUUUCUGCAGAGUUUUAGCCCUAAAAAGAUUACAUAAUACUUAUCAUCAGAUGACACUUGAAAAAUCUUUAUGAUGGUGAACUGGUCUUUUCUUCAAAGUGGUUUGGACUCAAGUGUCUAGAGGUUUUCAUCACUGGUGGAUAGGUCAAAUAUGUCCUAUAUGGGGGGUAUCUUUGACUCCUUGCUUGUUGGCUAACCUAUGAUUUUUCUUGCAGCAAAUCCAAAAAUGGUCGGGACCAUUGGAAUCACUUGCAGAAGACUGGAGAUUUCUGAUAUUUGUGUUUCUUUUUUCUUCUUCUUUUUUUCCUUAUCAUAUUUGACUACGAAAUCCGCAUAUCGUGAAGGACAAAAUUUAUGUAUUAGGAUUCACCUUUCAUUUUGACCACAUGACUUGUUGAUAGGGCAUGUGUUGCAUCUAUACACUCAAGGACAGGCGGAACUUCGUGAUGAAGUGUGCAGCAUCCAGGACUUCCAUUACUUCAAUUAAUUGUAGUUCCAACCACUUCAAUUAAUUCUUAUGGGCGUUGGUGUUGAAGCAUCCAGGACUUCCAUUACUUCUUAUCAUGUAUGGACGUUGCUAUUAAAGCAUCCAGAGACUUCCAUAACUUCUUUGCAUGUAUGGGCUUUGGUUUUUCAUUUUUUAAUUCAUUAAUUGUCAUUCAGAGCCAAACAUCCAACCACUUCCAUUACUUCUUAUCAUGUAUGAACGUUGGUAUUAAAGCAUCCUUGGGCUUCCAUUACUUC